AUUCUUAUAUGUGCCACUCUGCUGCAUUUGGGCACAAUCAUAUGGGUGAAAGUUGUAUACCAUGAACUAGGUGUGUUUUUGGUAGAGUAUAACGAUCGCUCUUUUCUCUUUUAGGUGCAUUCUCUUCCCUAGGUCCAAUGCCGCUGAGCAACUUUCCAUUUCGCCAUCAUGGUGUGCGGCGGCCCCACCACGCUAGGCUCGAUCAGCCAAUUGAUGCCGUUGUCUAUGUCAGCGUGGUGUUCGUUCUGUUCGCGGCCAUCAUCCUGCUCCUGGUGGCCACCACUUGCCGUCGCUUUCAACCGGGCGGAAUGUCGAACCCGCCAGAAGAGCCGCCAGAAAAUAACAGCGAACCUCGGACGACGAUUGUCAGGCUGAAGGACCACGGCACUCGUGUGUGCACCGAGACGCUGCCGACGAGGAACACUGUGUAGAAGGUAGCAAUAACAGCCUCCCGUGAAGGAAAGUACUGACACCGACGUUAUCACCUUACGUGUGCUGACCGCAGGACUUCGAGACUACGCCUGUUGUCCUGAGCUACCCGUUCUUACUAGUGCCUUGUGGAACACAGACAUGCCUGUGGUAAAUGAGCUCACAUGGAUGGACAAGUGUUCACGCUGCCCUGUGCAUCAUAUCAUUUAAAUGGGGCCUAAGUGUACUCACAGUAUUGGUGCUGCUUCCCUGCUGCCAUCGCUGCGUUCAGCACUCGCCCCACUGGGCCGUCUCACUUCUGGUGUCGUCUUCAACACGUGUUGUGGAAAUUUGUGAGGUCCUCGCAGGAAAGCCUGAUUAUUACAACGCCAACAAUGCAUAUCAUUCACAGGAAUUUUGCGGGUGCAAGUUGAAAUCAGCUAGCGCAAGGCAGAGGUAAUAGAUCACUGGGAGAGGCCUUCAUACGUCAGUGGCCAUUAAAAUAGGCUGAUGAUGAAAAAUGAUGAUAAUGACAAUAAUUAUAAUUAAUGCAUAUCACAAUGCCCAGAAAUCCAGAAGUAACGAGUGUUAGUCAGUCGCAACUCCAUAUGAUAGCAGAGCUGCCAAAAUUAUUACACCAUUAUUCACAGUCAAAAUAUUGUUUUAUAAAAUUUUAGCUCGACACUGCUUUAAAAGGGCAGUAUAACCUCGUAAGUCUUGAAGAAAAUUAUAGAACGAUAAACUUUAUAGCGAUGACGAGGAACGUUACUAAAACUUUAAUUAGUAAUUGGCAGUGAAAUAGUAACACAGCACUAAAUGCUCUCAGUAUUGUUCACAUAAAAUCAGGGAGACGUUGUAAUGAGUUAUUAGGUCAGUUAAUUCAGCAGGCUGAUGCUACAAGUGACGUCACUGUCGUGGUCCUGCACUAUAGCAAUAGCUCAAUUUACAACUGCAGUCAGUUGGCGUUCUCUGUAUAAAUGCUGAGUAGUUGGUUUAUAUACAUAUAUAUAUAUAUAUAUAUAUAUGGGUUGACAUUGAUGAGCUUAUUUGUGGUGACAGGGUCCUUGCUGGUCUGGCUCCUGUCUUUUGAAAAGAACAUUUAGAACGUGUAGUGCGAACAGACUACACGAACACUAUAUGGAAGGCAGGAAUGUGAAAAACGGUGACCGAAAGCAUGCAGUACUUAAGGGGAUUACUUUGCUCACAUCAUUCUGUUCCGUAGGCGGAAUCUUUAUUGCGAAAUGUUGAUAAUGCUGUAAAAGAGAAAUAAGUCGCGGAUUUCCAACAGUUAUUGCUGACACGAUCUAACGGUUAUGCGUGCUCAACAACAGUUUAAGAUUACCGGUGGCCGAAGCUACACUACAAAUCACAUAUAGUGAACUCAAACCUUUAUUUAAAAGAAACAGACAGCUUGGAAUAACGGGUGUAAUAACUUAGAUGAGGCCUGCUUGUUCACAUACGCACCACGAAAAUGGAAGGACCAUGCCCACCACCGCCACUCAAGUACACUUGCCGACUUGCGAGAAAUGUGCAGUGUGCACGCAUUCCUGUCUUUACACUUAUAGAGAAUCCGCAAUGUUAAGUUUACAUCAUAUAUUUAGCAAACAAUUCGAAUGCAUGGGGACUGGACUACUCGGAAGUUCCAAGAUAUCACAGUCAUGCAUUGUUAUGCGCG